UACAGAGGUCCCAAGCGUUGUUCGGAUUCACUGGGCGUAAAGGGUGCGUAGGUGGUGGGGUAAGUCGGAUGUGAAAUCUCCGGGCUCAACCCGGAAAUGGCAUUGGAAACUACCUUGCUGGAGGAUUUGAGGGGGGAUUGGAAUACUUGGUGUAGCAGUGAAAUGCGUAGAUAUCAAGUGGAACACCAGUGGCGAAGGCGAAUCACUGGAAAAUACCUGACACUGAGGCACGAAAGCUAGGGGAGCAAACAGG
rnacentral:rRNA from 1 species